rnacentral:lncRNA from 1 species
ACGACCAUAUAAAAAAAAUAAACAAACUUUCUUUGACAAUAAAUUUCUAAUUAAAUCAUGGCUGCGCCUAGGCAGCGUUAUUGUGAGAGUGAAAGUGGACGUGCUGCUACUCCCCUCAUUCCCAACAUGUAUCAAGUACCUGCAUUGAGUAAUGCAAGAGUGAGAUGACACAUCUCAGCAAGUAAAAUAAUAUCAAACAGUUUAACCACAUAAGAACAUUGUUUUACCACCACUUAAUUCCACAACCUUCUUAUUACGAAGGUGCAGCACGUAUACAACGUACAACGCACCUAGUUACCACACCUCGCAGGUAGAAACCACAAUAGUAACAUAGUAAUGUCACACUUCAUAUAUUCCUCAUGAGUGCAAAUGUCUGCAAAUGCAAGGAUGACUUCUGCCUUCAUACCUCUAAGGAUAUAAAGGCGCAUCGUACCCCUCCUCGGGCAACGUACGAUGCUAAAAAUGUACCGGUACGGUCGGACCAUAAGAUCACGACAUAACUUCAAAAUGCAAGAUGGAUGAUGCGAUGUGCAUGUUCAUGCCUACAACACUUCAUAUAACAUGAUUCAAAAAGACACUUCAACUUCAUCCAGAUGGGAAUCAACCACAUAUAUCAUUACCAAAUUAUGAUCAUCCACAAUAUUAGACAAUUGAGAAUUAAUACUUCCAAACAAAUAAACUUCAUCAUAGAAUUCAAUGAUUAACAUAAUUAAAACUUAUGCAUACUCAAUGACAGGGAAUAGGAUGCAAACCAAACGGUAGCAACCACCACUGUAUUUACUUGCCUUUACCGGAAGUUCGGGCAAAUCCCAAGUAUGAUCCGGAAGCCCACCACCUGUUUUUGACACCCAACUUAGUACACCAAUUUCACAUAAUCAGGCUCAUAAGCGACGCCGCACCUACGCACAAACUCAAACCCCGCCAUGGGUUACAUCUCUCCCUACACCCACCAAACUGCAGCGGCGCUGCUUAAUAAUUUCAUAACUUCAAAAUUAUGACAGCAGUGGUAACAAACAAAAACUCCAGAGGCAUCUACAUAAAAUUCCCCACAAGUUUUGUAUACAAUUUAUAAUUAAAUUCCAAUAUCUAAUUAGCCCAAAACAGUCCACAAGAUGAACCCUGUAAUCUGUUUUUCUUUGUCUUUUGGACAGCGACAUACCCAGAUUCAAACAGCGAUAUCUUUUAAAAUAUAAUUCCAAAUCAAGCGCAUAAGUACUCAUUGGAAAGAUAAGACAAAUCCCUACAUGAUUACCAUACUGGUUAACACUAAUUACCCACGAAAAAUUCCUAGAAACUGCUAAUACCACUGCUGUUCACCCACCUGAAAAAUCUGUUUUUUUUUGGACAGCAACAUAACCGGAUUCAAACAACGAUAUCUCCUGAAUUAUAACUCCGAAUCGAGCGCAUAAGUACUUGUUGGAAAGAUAACAUAAAGCACUAUAUGAUUCUCAUACUGAUUAACACUAAUUACUCCCAAAAAAUCCCCAGAAACUGCUAAUACUGCUGCUGUUCAUCCCCUGAAAAAUCUGUUUUUUUGACAGCCACAUAUCCGGAUUCAAACGGUGAUAACUUUCAAUUUAUAACUCCAAAUUGAGCGCAUAAAUACUCGUUGGAAAGGUAAGGUAAAGUUCUACAUGAUCCCCAAACUGAUUUCCCUUAAUUCCUCACGAAAAAAACACAGAAACUGCUAGACUACUGCUGUUCACCCACCACCUAAAAUUCUGGACAGCCCCCCUCUACCCCAAUCGCAAACGCAACCUCUAAUCAAUUAAAUUGCAGCGCAAAUGAACAAGGGAUGAACACAAAAAUCACAUUGGAUUCUCCCCCUUUCCUUCCUCCCUUCUUCCCUCCACCAAAACGAUUGAAUACUCGCACCACGACGACGAUGAUCCGAGCGGCAAGGAUUGGCACCUUGGGAGGAGGGGAUUGAGAGGGGGGGGGGCGGCUAGGGUUUGGUGGCUGCAAGAAUUGAGAGAGGAGGAGAUGGGCAAGGGGGCG